CGCUCAAAACUACUGUGGACAUUCUACGGUAUCCUUCAGAAGUUACCAAUUUGAUUUCAUUCAACAAAUUAAUUUAUGACCUACAUGUAGGUAUAGGUGAGAACACAGUUUAUUUAUAAAUAUAAUCUUUAUUUCAAAAUAACACCCAUAAGGAUCGGGCAAUGCAAUCAAACAAUUAUGCAAUACAAUGUAAUAUAAUGUAAUGCAACACAAUAUAUAGAACAAUGGAACAUAUUUUAAGAGUUCAAUUAUAAAUUUAUGUAAAAUAUACCAUCAUACGCUUGUCUGACAUGGUUCUGACCCAUCAGUUCUAUAGUAUUGAAGACUCUAAUAUGAAAAACAAGUUCAUGGAUGGGGUUUAGACUGAGUUUUAGUUAAUCAAAUGCAUCAUGAUAUUGAAAUAAUGGUACAUAGUCUUGAAUAACGCAAUGAUAUGUUAUUGUUACAAUGCAAAAAGAAAUGAAAUUCGUCAUCUAGGACUCCACUUUUUUACAUAAUCUUUGUGCUCUUGGGAUAUGUUACUGUACCUUCCAAAUUCAAUGCCAAAAUCAUUGCAAUUUAAAUGUUCCUUAGACUGACAAUUCGAUUUUAAUUUCCCUUAAAGAAGACAUUAUUGUUCAAUAAACUCAAUGUAACUUUUUUCCUUUGUUAUACUGGUUAUUUCAAGCAUAUCUAUCAAGUUUGGACAUAAUCAGUUCAAUAGUUUGAGAAAAAUCUAGUAUAAUGAAAGACGACAUCUACAGCGGUUCGAGCAAAAUUUCUUUGACAAAUCCAAACCAAGCCGCAUCAAGAUAGAAUAAAGUGUGGACCAAUAAAUGACCAAAUAUCUAUCUUAUAUGCCUACAAACAGUUUAAUAUGAUACACAAGAUGAUUUUAGGAAGAUAAAUACCACUAAUGAACCUCUUUGUCUUCUUUAAAAGGUCUCUUUUGGACAAUUUAUACCUCUUAUUUCCUCAAAUUUCAACUUUUCAGGCCAAUAAAUAAAAAUAAUAGGGUAACUUUCACUCAUUUAUGGUAGAAAUGUUAUAAGAAAUGAGUAAUUGAAACAUUUUAGCAGAGUGAACAAUCCAUAUAAAUGUUUACCGUCUCCAAGGAGGUUUCAAUAAGUCCUUACGUAAAAAUUAAAUUUACGCCGCGUUCCAGACGUCGACAUCAAAGGUUUCUCUUUUAGUGAAUAAUUUGUCGUUACAGCAUUAAAAAUAAUUACAUGUACUUAUAACUAUAUAUUUAUUUAAGUAUUUCCUAGGAUAAUGUUCUAUCAUAGCAGAAUAUAAGAGAUAAGGAACCCCCCACCCCCCCCCCAAAAAAAAAAAGACUAUCAACUGAAUAUCAUGGUAAUCCUAUUUCUAUUUCAAGACAAUUUUCACUCAGAAUAUUUCAUUUUUUUGUAAUAUUUCACUUAAAUAGCAAGAAAUUUUAACUCAUGAGAUUACUCACAAGGUCAAAGGUGCAUGUACAGCUUCCCAUAUUAGGUGUAAUACCACCAUUGAUUUUCCCCUAUUAGUCUUUGUUAAGUUUGCACUUUUCAAAAAAAUGUGCAGAACAUAUCUUUGUUUCAAAUAAAGAAAUACUUGGCAUGAGUAAAUUUUUAUCCUGUCCAGUACUAUAGAAAAAAAAAUCACAUAACAUUUCAUUGCAUAUAAGAAAAUAACCAUCAUUGGAAUUUAACCAAUCAAAUGUCUCCCCUUAUUUUAUUUGUGUACAAGGUUUAGUCACCAUGUAACCUCAAGAUUACAAAAUUUUCUAUAGAAAAUGUAUUCAAUUUUUGAUGAAAUCAAACAAAAUUUAAUUUUGGACCCCGAUUUGGACCAACUUGAAAACUGGGCCAAUAAUCAAAAAUCUAAGUACAUUUUUAGAUUCAGCAUAUCAAAGAACCCCAAGGAUUCAAUUUUUGUUAAAAUCAAACUAAGUUUAAUUCUGGACCCUUUGGACCUUAAUGUAGACCAAUUUGAAAACAGGACCAACAAGAAUGUGUCCAAAGUACACGGAUGCCCCACUCAAUCAUUUUCCAUGUUCCAGGAACUGUGAAAUAGGGUAAAAAUCUAAUAUGGCAUUAAAAUUAGAAAGAUUAUACUAUAGGGAACAUGUGUACUAAGUUUCAAGUUGAUUUGACUUCAAUUUCAUCGAUAAACUACCUUGACCAAAAACUUUAACCUGAAACUCUUAUUCUGAUGGAUCCUAAAUAGUUUGGGCCAUCACCGCCAAAAUAAAUCCCAACCUUCCUUUUUUUGAAAUGGAACCUUGAGGUACAAUUUCAGAAAGAUCCUUACACUUACACACAAUUUAUUGUCUUGAAACUAGAACUAGAGGCUCUCAAGAGCCUGUGUCGCUCACCUGUUUCUGUAUUUACUGAGGUCGGCCAUCUUGGUUUGUAGGCGGGGUCAUUAGACACUUUUAAAAUAGAUACCCUAGUAAUGAUUGUGGCCGAGUUUGGUUAAAUUUGGCCCAUAGUUUUAGAAAAGAAGAUUUUUGUACAAGUUACAAAAAUGACGAAAAGUUGUUCAAUAUUGACUAUAAAGGACAAUAACUCCUUAAGGGGUUCUCUGACAAUUUUGGUCAUUUGACUUAUUUGUAGAUCUUACUUUGCUGAACAUUAUUGCUGUUUACAGUUUAUCUCUAUCUAUAAUAGUCUUCAAGAUAAUAACCAAAAACUGCAAAAUUUCCUUAAAAUUACCAAUUUUAGGGCAGCAACCCAACAAAGGGUUGUAGGAUUUAUCUGAAAAUUUGUGAUGGGAUAGAUCUUACUCUGAUGGCCAUUUAAAUCUUGAAAGAUUUGCCCUAAAUGUCUUAGUUUCAAAGAUAUAAGGCAAAAACUGCAUUUUACCACUAUGUUCUAAUUUUGGUCAUCGGACACAUUUUUUAAACUCACAAUUAUGAUUGUGGCCAAGUUAGUUUAAAUUUGGCCCAGCAGUUUCAGAGAAGAAUAUUUUUGUACAAGUUACAAAUAAAGGGCUGCGC
rnacentral:lncRNA from 1 species